AAUUCAGCUGAAAAAGUCAUGAACAUAAAAGUUGUAGAAUUCAUCAAGACAUACAACUUUAAUUUUGGUCAUUUCUUCAUCCGACAAAGUGAUAGUAACAUUGUUCACAAAAUUUACAUCUCUAUCUUAUUGUUUAUAAAACCAAAUGAGAAAUAUGUAAUUUUUGUGAACAAUGUUACUAUCACUUUGUUGGAUGAAAAAAUGACCAAAAUAAAAGUUAUAGAUCUUGAUGAGUUAUACAACUUUGUUGUUGAUGACUUUUUCAGUUGAAAUU
rnacentral:pre_miRNA from 2 species